rnacentral:lncRNA from 1 species
UUGCCUCCAAACACUAUUUCUUCUUUUAAACAAACUCUUCUCCCCUUUUUUUUUCUCUUUCUCUUUCACUAUUUUCUCUCUCUUUCUCUACCUAAGAAAAGUGCAUCCAAAAAGCAAACUUUUGCCUAAUUCAAUAAAACAUCCAAGGAGUGGGAGUUCUUCAUCUCAAGCCCUUUAUUCAGUCGCACCAUUAGUUUUUUUCAACCACAAUCAUCCAUCCAUGCAAUUUAGCGAUAACGUCUCCUGAGCACGGUUUGAAAAUUUAGCCAACAAGAAAUUUUGCCUAACUUGUCACCUUGAUUGGGAGUUUAUGCAUUCUAUUAGUUUUAAGGAGCAACUUAGAGGAUAGGUGAACCAACUGGCAUUGGAAAAAAAAAUUUGAGAUUUCGAAGCCUGCUUAUAGAGAAAUCACCCUUAAUUCUUGUGUACGCUAUGUUUUGAGGUUGGCUCACGGAUUGAUCGUACGGUAAAACAGUGAAGUUUCAAUUGGGAAGAAAAUAUUUUGACAUGUCGAUGAAUGAGUUCGCCAUUGCUAUGGGUAUCUACACUGAGGAAGAAGUGAAAUCUGAUGAAUAUAGGCAUGCACCUUUCAGGUUCUUCGGAAAUCGCACUCCGAAAGUGGUCUCGGCAAAUUUGGAGCCCAAUGCACCUAGGUAUGUCACUCUAAACCAAAAGCCUCCACUUUCGAUUCUUUUCCACUGCGUUUUAUGCAUUUCUUAUUAACAGGACCUAUUUUAUUUGAUCUGAUUAGAUGAGGGUAUAUGGUACAAUGUGGCUUUGAGUUUAUUGGUGUAUUUGCUAGAGCAGGCCAAAAAAUUAGACAAAGAGUGUUUGUGUGGAGGUAUGUAUAUAAUAAGGCUAGCUAAGAAUCUGCGGGUUUUUUAUGGACUUUCGGCAAUGAUGUUAGAUGGAUUGCCAAAAUUGAUGGGUCUUGAAAUCUUGCAGCUCAUGGAUAAGAAAAAACACAUUUUGCC